UUGAGUACAAGAAAAGGGUUAAGCUUCAGUCUAAGCAGUAUCCUCCCAUUGUCUAAAAACGUCAGAAGUGAACGUAUGAAUCUUUUGUGUUUUUUGUGAUUGUGUUUAAAUGUAAUCGGGUGAUUAAAAAAAACUCCUCAUUUUGGCACCUUUGAGACACUACUAGAAUCUCUUUUAUUUCCGGAAAACAAAAGUUAUCUUUUUCUCUAUGUUAACUGUUAAUAUUCUUGGUACUACUGAUUCAGUUGGGGUCUGCUUGUGUUUAUACACAUUACCUAUGUUCUCUGGUUCAGUUUGUGUUAUUUUCCAUGUUCUAACGAAGUCGAAUGUGAUUGGUCUUUAUUCUCAAGAUCUUUUUAGUUUGAAAUGUAGAAUAUAUCUCUGAUAAUUUGUUACAUAUUUCUCCAUUGCAGGUCGGAUCUCUUGUGUUUGGCCAUCAAAAGUUCAUUUCCACUCUGUACAAUUGCUUAUAUGUGUUCUUAAGUGUUAUACCAGGGAUAAAUGCCUAAAAGUGACGACUCCUAACAUAAUGUGUGAACUAGGGUUAGAGAUUUUUAACAUAACCGAACUUCCAAACCCCACUCUUAACAUAAUGUGCGAACUAUGGCUGGAAUUUUUAACCGAACCGAAUUUGCCCAACAAAACCAAACCAAACUGAAAAUUUUGGUUUUCGGUUAGUUUGGUGGGAAGUUCGGUAACAUAAAAAAAGUCGAUUUUUGGUUCCGUAAUCGGUUAGUUCAAUUUAAAAAAAUAAUUCAAAUAGUACUAAUCUUAACCGCAAUUCCGAACAGAACUAACUGAAAUCCGUAAUGAAAUAACUGAACUAAAAUUAACCAAUUUUUUCGAAUUUUAUUCAAUAUAAACCGAAAAUUUAACCGAAUUGACCGUAUAAGCCGAGAAGGGAAUUUUUACGGUUUAAUUUGGCGAAAUUUUAGUUAAACCGACGUUAUUUAUCAAUUCGAUAGUUAGUUUAAUAAAAAGUGUAAUAUAAGUUAAGAUGGACCAACCUAUUUUUCUAGGAAUAGUUUAUUUUUUAUAGUUAUUUAUUAAAUAAGAAUUUAUAAUCAUACGGUUCUAUGAUCGUUCAUAUCGUUUUAUAACAAAAUAUUUAAAUCAUCGAUAACAAAAUUUUUUGACCAACUUAUGUAUCUAACAACAUAUAAAAAUCAAAUGUGGACCUACUUAUUUUUCAAUUGAAUGUAAUUGACUACCUAAUUGAGUGCCACCUAUGCAUUGGGGCCUCUUUUAAUUAAUACAAAAUUGAGGUUACAUCUUUUCAAAUGUUCCUCAAUUAAUAUAUAAGGGAUGAGAUAUCAAAAUACUAUAUGCAACUUGUAUAUAAUCACUUAUUUUCACAAAUCAUUUGAUGGUUAAGAAAAUUAGAUUAAAUUGUUUGUUCUAUCUAUCAAUUCAUUUGAUAAAAUCACUUUUGCUCAUAUACCAUUCCUUGGUUUCUAGUUUUUACCAACCAAAUUGUCUUGAGAUGAUGCUUUAUUCUGCACCCACACCACCAGUGAUGGGAGAGAAAAUAAUUGAAUGGAGCUUAAUGGGCCCAUAGUUGUUUUAUGGGUCACGUGAUAAAUAGGAAGAGAGAGAGAAUCUUUUGGUAGCUUUAUUGGGUUUCCAUAUACUCGCGUAGGUUUCACGCUAUCCAUUGACUUUUUCUUUACGCCUUUUCUUCUUUUUAUUAUUAUUUUUAAAAUAAUUAUCGACGGUCAAUUCACUAAAAGGACGAGAAGGACAUUCAUUCGCCGCGAAAUCUGGACCGUACGAUGCUCCGAUUACGCUUUAACAAAGGGGGCAAAUCCGUAACUUCACUUCUUCAUCUUCCCCCAAUCCCUCUCGUCUUCUUCGAGCUAUAUAGAGCGAUAGAGAGAGAGAGAAGAGAAGCGUUAGAUUUGAGAGUUACAGAGAGUGAGUAAGAGAUGGCUAGUGGAAUCGCUCGAGGUCGUUUGGCGGAGGAGAGGAAAUCGUGGAGGAAGAAUCAUCCUCAUGUAUGUGUUUUUCUUCUAUACGCUUUCUCCAAUUUCAAAAUUUGAUGCUUGGGCAAGUGUUAAUUGGUCUCCGAUUGCGUUUAUCGAUGGUGGAAUUAGGGUUUUGUGGCGAAGCCGGAGACUGGGCCUGAUGGGUCUGUGAAUCUAAUGGUGUGGCAUUGCACUAUUCCUGGUAAAGCCGGUGUAAGUAUACACAAUCGUUUUAUCAAUUUUAUCUUAUGUGCGUCAGUUAAUUGUGAAAUUAGGGUUCUUAUGUCUUCAAAGUUCGAACCUUUCACCAGAUAGUGUGAUUCAUGUUUGAAGUUUUUUUAUAUGCAAUUUUGCUUAUUUGAUUACGUAUAUAACUGUGGAAGAGUUUAUUCUGUGAAUGCUUAGUGGGAAAGAGUAGCUAGAUGUUAUGAAUUGGUGCAUAAAAUAAAAAUGUGUUCUUGGAGAUGUUUUUGAAUUUGAACUCUGAUGUGUACCUUGUUUAGCUUUUCUUCCUGGUUCAUUGCUAAUAAGAGUUUCUUAUACAUGAUAAUUGCUAAGUGGUUACUGAUUGCAAAGUUGGAUUCUUCCCAUUAUUCUUUGUGAUUGCUAGUUGAAAAAGUAGCUGUCAUCUCACUGUUUAUCUUCACAUGUGGUGUUCCGAAUUGUUGCUUUAAAAAUCUUGGUCUACAAAAUGAUAUUGAAUCUGAACUCAGUUGUCUAUAUUACAUUCGUAAUUUAUGGCUUUUUUGAUAUUUUGAACAUGGUUUGUUAAUAAGAGUAGUUGCUGUUAAGAUUCUGGAACCAUUAUUCAUGAGGCCAUUUACUUCACUCUACAGAUUCUUCCCAUUAUUCUUUGUGAUUGCUUGUAGAAUUCGUGCUUUAUCAAUCUUAGUUUAUAAAAUGUCUUUGAUUAUGAACUCUGCAUUCUAAUGUUACAUUUAUAAUCUGUGGAUUUUUGAUAUCUGGAACAUGGCUUGUUAAUAAGAGUAGUUGCUGUUAUGAUUCUUGAAACCUUUUAUUCAUAAUGAAUUUACUUUGAAACUACAGACUGAUUGGGAAGGUGGAUUCUUUCCAUUAACGAUGCACUUUAGCGAGGACUAUCCGAGCAAGCCUCCCAAAUGCAAAUUCCCACAAGGCUUUUUCCACCCUAAUGUCUAUCCAUCAGGGACAGUCUGUCUCUCAAUCCUCAACGAGGAUUCCGUAAGUCUUUUUCUUCUGCUUCUUUCUGUGCAUUUCUCAUCGAUCUUCACCUGCCUCAAGCCCUCUGUUGGUAUUGUUAUGUUGAUAGGGAUGGAGACCAGCCAUCACAGUGAAGCAGAUUCUUGUGGGUAUACAGGAUUUACUUGACACCCCUAAUCCUGCUGACCCUGCACAGACUGAUGGUUAUCAUCUCUUCAUCCAGGUACAGUCUCAGCAAACAACGCUCAUGAUGGCAUAGUUUCUGGAUCACAGGAAUUUGAUUUUGAUGUGUUUGAAUUUGAUGAAAAAUAUGCAGGAUGCAGUUGAGUACAAGAAAAGGGUUAAGCUUCAGUCUAAGCAGUAUCCUCCCAUUGUCUAAAAACGUCAGAAGUGAACGUAUGAAUCUUUUGUGUUUUUUGUGAUUGUGUUUAAAUGUAAUCGGGUGAUUAAAAAAAACUCCUCAUUUUGGCACCUUUGAGACACUACUAGAAUCUCUUUUAUUUCCGGAAAACAAAAGUUAUCUUUUUCUCUAUGUUAACUGUUAAUAUUCUUGGUACUACUGAUUCAGUUGGGGUCUGCUUGUGUUUAUACACAUUACCUAUGUUCUCUGGUUCAGUUUGUGUUAUUUUCCAUGUUCUAACGAAGUCGAAUGUGAUUGGUCUUUAUUCUCAAGAUCUUUUUAGUUUGAAAUGUAGAAUAUAUCUCUG
rnacentral:lncRNA from 1 species